AUUCCUUGUCAUCCCUGGGCUGAAGCCUGCAUACACGAGAGGAAUUCACAAUUAGCUCAGAAGUGGCCCGCUACCACUUACCGCUGACCUCAACCUGCAGCAGGCAGAAGGCAAGUGAUUGUGUCUGCAUACAUGCAGAUUUUUUUUUAAAUAAAACAGGAAAGUCCAUGAAACAAAAGGACGCAAUCCAGAAAACCAGCUUGUGGGAUCGUCUUUCAUUAGUUUUUGGUGUAUGAAGUAUUUUCUGACAUGGGUGAAAACCGAGGCAAAUAAUUUCGAUGUUGCUUUAAAAUAGACAUUUACUAUGAAUAAUGUUUAGUUUUAAAGACAGUUAUUAUUAUUAUUUUUUAUUUACCUUGAAUGUCUACUAAAAGCCAAUGGAGUGUUGUGGGAUUAUUCAGCUAAUUCAGGCCAAAAUGUUGAUUUCCCUUUAAAUAUUGAGAUAAUGGAAGAGAAAUCUAGCCACAUCUGACUUGUGUGGUUAGUGACCAACGACUGUUUCUGUGUUAGUUGGUAAAGUCUUUGUUGUACCCUCAAGUCAAGUCACAUAUCAGUGGAAAAGCAUUGCAGACUUGUUGUAAAAGAGGGUUUCAGCUUUCUGCCAAGAGCAUCUUCAGUGCCCACACUAGUUAGUAAUUUGGCUUCUAAAUGUUUCAGUCAAUCAGUAGUCAGCACUGAAGACAGAGAAAGAUGAAGUUUCCUCAUCUGGGUAUAAGAUGACUUCUGCUUUGGGCAGUUCCAGCUCCCGCCAUUCCCCAAGGGACCCCAUGGUUCAGUGAACCUCCUUGGUAUUCCCAAACCUGUCGGGAUGGUUUCCUCCUCCAGGACUCUCCAUCUGCUGUGUGUUCCUGACUUUGUUCUUUGGGCGCUGUCCUGACAGGAACCCCCUACGAGAACUCCCUACUUCUAUCCUCACCUCCUCCUUGAUGCCUUUCUGAUCAAUCCACCUUCCACCACAUCCCACGCUGAGAAAGGCCUCUCUCCUUUGGGCUCCAAUUUCAUCCUAUUCCCAUCUUUAAAAUGUCACUUUUCUCCUUUCAUCAGCCACAGACAUUUACUGAGUGCUGUAGUUCCUGCUUGGGUGGUGAGAAUUACAGACAGUUCCUGCCCUCACGGGGCUCAUAUUCUAGUUGAGGAGAAAGACAAUAAACACACAUAUGAAAUGAUGCUAGGUAAUGCAAUGACACAAAUAUUGAGAGGUUUUUCUCGCCUGACGCCCCCAGCACACUGUGACCUUUGAGAGCAAGUACUGGUGAACCUAGCCGAGGGCGGGACAUUUGUACAUCAGGUGUCAGUAGAUGUUGAAUGAAUGAGCAAACGAAAGGAGCAUUUAGUGGACUUUUAACUAUGUCCCCCGUCUUUCUAGCACUGGAGGAUGUAAAAGAAAUAAAAGUUCAUUUUACUUUACAGUUGGAAAGUUUUCUCUUCUGAAAGAAUAUCUUUGUGACAUUUUCAGAGAUAAUAAGGAAUCUUCCAUCUGACUAGGAAACAACAAGCAGUUUAUAUAGAAAAGGCACAUUGCUAGAAACAUCUGCCUGUUAAUUGAUUCAUCAUUCACCCACAAGACAUGUAAAAAAUGAUGGUUCUGUACCACAGGUUUUUAUUUCUAUUAAAUUCUAUGGCAUACAAUCUUGAACAAACAUUUGUAGUCAAUAUUUGGUAAAAAAGUCCAAUUCAAUCAAGUAAAUAAAGCAUUAGAAAAAAUUAUUUCAUUUCUUUGCUAAACUAAAGCCAUUAAGACUAAUACAAGUAGAAUUGAGGACAAAGGAUAUUUAAAACAAAACAAAACAGUGAGACCCAUUGCGUAUUUGCAUUUUAAAAUUAAUUGCUUCCCUAAUUAUUCAUCAGUAGAAGCAUAAAUUAAGCAAAUAUAACUUAGAGUAAGCUUUCAGACACCCAUAGGAUUCUCCCCUCAAGAGUAAAUUGUCCUAAUGGUUCACUGUGAUGGUUUAUUUUUGCUGUCUUUUCCAUGAUUGAGGAAAGAGGAGAUUGGAAAUGGAGCCUUAUGGAAAUGAAACAGACACUCCAGAAAAAGAGACAGACACAGCUACCCAACUCCUUCUACUCCUGGCACCAAUCUUCACUAUCACAACUAUCAGCGCAAUGCAGAAACGUGAGGAAAAUGAGAAGACUUGUGGAGAGGCCCAUAAGCUGUUGUCUGUCUUUGAGUCACAUGGAACCACUUGCAGGAAGAGCUCUAGAG